rnacentral:lncRNA from 10 species
CUAACUUCCAGCUUUGAAAUAGGACUGAAGAUGAACCAUGCUCCUGGCACCCCCUGUUGAGAGCCCAAGUUCAGCAGAUUGCGGCCAUGGGGGACUGAAAAUGGAGCCCUGGACAAAGACACUUGCUGGGUGACCCAAGGCAAGGCUUUCCAUGUACACUAUGAAUGCCAAGUGCUGUGAAUACCAACCCAUGCUUUCAAAGAGCCUGCUGCCUCAGAGCAUGUGAUGUGGAACUUUCUGGUGGCCUCGGCGUGGAGGUUCUCAACCUCAGCUGCACACUGUGUUUAGUUGGUCUGGAGCGAGAUCUAGGCAUCAGUAUAUUUUUUAAGCUCCCCAUGUGAUUGUAAUAUGCAGCCAAGAAUAAAAAAAAAAAACACUGG